rnacentral:rRNA from 1 species
GACGAACGCUGGCGGCGUGCUUAACACAUGCAAGUCGAACGGAAAGGCCCUGCUUUUGUGGGGUGCUCGAGUGGCGAACGGGUGAGUAACACGUGAGUAACCUGCCCUUGACUUUGGGAUAACUUCAGGAAACUGGGGCUAAUACCGGAUAGGAGCUCCUGCUGCAUGGUGUGGUUUGGAAAGUUUCGGCGGUUGGGGAUGGACUCGCGGCUUAUCAGCUUGUUGGUGGGGUAGUGGCUUACCAAGGCUGUGACGGGUAGCCGGCCUGAGAGGGUGACCGGCCACAUUGGGACUGAGAUACGGCCCAGACUCCUACGGGAGGCAGCAGUGGGGAAUAUUGCACAAUGGGCGGAAGCCUGAUGCAGCAACGCCGCGUGCGGGAUGACGGCCUUCGGGUUGUAAACCGCUUUCGCCUGUGACGAAGCGUGAGUGACGGUAAUGGGUAAAGAAGCACCGGCUAACUACGUG